rnacentral:lncRNA from 15 species
AUGUCCACUGAAUACCUGCAGCAGUCUUUCAGGACAGUGCCUUCUGUGGAGGAAGCUAAGAGCAUGAGGGAUAGACUUGCAACAGAAAAGACAAAUCACAUGAUGAACGAUGUCAAUGAGUUGAGACUAAGGGAGGACCUGUUUUCAGAGUACUGCAAAACUCUUCAAGAUAUUCAUGAGAACACAGAUGGAGAUGACAGAAGAGCUGUUGUUGCCACCAUGAAUGACUUCUGGGGGAUUUGGCUGCAAAUUAAAUCAGAAGAAAUUGAACAGUUGAAGAGAGAAGAAUUGCAAAAGAGUUUGAAAGAUGAUUUGUCAUGGGCAAAAAGUCAGUCUCAGAAUAAGACUUCACCGUGUUCCAGCAUUUAUCACUACAUCAAGUUUGGAAAUAUCGCACUGAGUGAAAACCAAUGGGACAUCAGCAGAAGGCUCUUUGAAAAAGCCAUGAAACAAGAUGAAAGUUGGGCAGCUAUAGCUUUCUACAAUCAUGCAUACUGCACUAUAAAGGAGCAGAAUAGUGAUUACCUCACUCAGGCAAGAGAUGAUCUAAGGAAGGCACAGGAGUCUCUGAAGUGUCUUAGUGAAGAGUUAAUGGUCUGUCUGCAGCUUGUAAAAAUGUCCUCUGUUGACUCAGCCAACAGCAACUGCACCAGCCUUGAAAAACAGUUCACAACCAAGUGCACAAUGUUAGGUUACAUUGACAAAAACAUUAGUGAGGCCCUCCAAAAGCUGGAUGAAAUAAACGAAAAAGGUCGAGAUGCAGUGGCCAAUAAAUCAAUAAUUUUUGUCCUGGUGUCGAGUGCUGAUGAUGAUGAUCUCCGUGAGGGAGCCUACAACCUCUACAGUCAGGGUCUGAAAUAUGUAUUUUCUGUGGAAGAGGAGCCUCGUUUCCCAUGGGAAGCUCUUCUAGUGUUCGGCCUUGGAGUUUUACAGAUUAUUGGAGGAACAUUGCUCACUGCAUUUACGUUUGGUACAUUUGCUCAAAUCGGCAUGGCACUCAUCAGUGAAGGAAUAUCCGACUGCAUCUAUAGCAUAGAGGCCAUGGUGACAGGAGAAUUCAGCUGGAAAUCAUGGGCUAUACAUAAAGCCAUUUCUAUUGGUGUGUCUCUCCUUGCGUUUGGAGUUGGAAAGUUGAUUUCGAAGGGCUUCAAAGCUUGUAAAGUGUCCAUUACAGGAUUUGGCAAAGAGCUGAAGUUGAUCCCAAAGUUUCUCUCCAACCAGGCUAAAGCUGGUUUAAGUGUUAUGACAAAGACAAUUAUGAAGACUGCAGUACAACACACUGCUAAAAUAAUGGUUGAGGAAAUCAUUAUGUAUGGAAUGGGGAAGGUAGAAAGUAAAAUCCUGACAGAAAUACUAGACAGCAUCAGAAAUGAGGUGAAAAAAAGAAUUUAUGACAACAUGAAAUCCAACUUGGAAAAAGAACCCUUGGCUACAUCGGUAGAUCUUGUUAUCCUCUCACACAUUGAGGAUGAAAAGCAACUUCAUGAUCUCCUGAAGGACAAGAACAGAAAGCGUGAACUGCUGGGCAUUUUCAGAGCAUUAAGCAACACUGCAGUACAGCCCUUCUAUGCAGACCUCAGCUGGCAGAACAAGCUUAGUUCAUCCUUCUCCACAGUGAUUAACAGGGCUAAAGCAGAGGCCAGAGGAAAAACACGUGGAAUUCUGACAGCCAUCCAACUUACCCACAUGGGGGUGUUGGCAAGAGACGCCAUAAAUGCAGUGCUCAACCUCUCCAGCAAGUUUUUCUCAAACCUUCAUGAACAGCUGAAUUCAUUUAAAAAAGAAAAUGGUUUUUCAGAGAAAGUGAAAGUAAAUGAGCUCUCUGAUUCAGAUACUGAGCCACUUAGAGAAUUCAAGCAGGAUUUAGCCGACACCAUCAGUGAUUUACUGGCUGAUGCUUUGGUACAAGUGUUCCACCAGAAGUUCUCCAGUCAUGUUGUUUCUCAUGUUCAAAACAAAGUAAAUGGCAUCAUUCGGAGUUAUGUAAGAACAGGCUUAAAGAGUGAAAGAACAGAGGAAAAACUCAGAGCUGGACAGAACAACAGAUACAUUGCAUACAUGCCAGUAGUCCCAAAUUCUGAACAUGAACGUGCAGGAGAGAGAGGUGAACACUCACAGUCACAUGCUGAAAAGAUCAGAGACGCCACGACUGUGGGAACCAUUCUCGAUAUCAGAGUCCUGGCAGAAACCACUGGCACUAAGGUUGUCAUCCUAACAGAGGAUAGCCAAGGAAGUCUUACCAAAAUACAGGAGCUGAACCCUGGCACCGAACCCGGCAGUCAAACCGUGACAUUGAUCCACAGACCAAAGAGUGCCCAAUACCCAGAUGGCCAUUAUGAUGUGUGCAUCAAUAAUCAGACAGUGAACAUAGUCAGCGAGGGAAAGGGCUGCCUGUUUCAUGCUUGGGCACAAAGCAUGAAACCAGAGGCCAGUGAAGAAGAGAUCGCUCAGGAAGCAUAUGACCUCCGAUCUGUGGUGGCCGACACUCUCCUGAGACACACAGGUCGAUGGGAGCCUUUCGUUAAGCGCAAAGACUGGACUGAAGAGAUCCGAGGAGGGGACUGGUACAUGCUACAGGGAGCUGCAAAAAAGCUCAAAAAGAUAAAAGAAAGUGAAGCGCUACUUGAUGAAAUGGUUGGAACAAUUGUACCAUACAAAGACUGGAUAAAACAUACAAAACAAAAUCCAGGAAUUGGACAAUUCAUCAAUGCAGAUCACCAGCCAGCAGUGAGUUGUAUGUUAGAAGCUAGAAAACUGAACCAGAACAGCAGAUUAGCAGAAGCAAUGCUUGAAGUAGCAACAGACUCUUCUCCUCUGGAUAACAACCUGAUUCCUGAUGUGCACAAAUAUCACGGUGCUGGACUCCCUACUGUUCUUGUGCCUAAAGAAUUACAUCGUGAGUUUCCCAGUACAACAUCUAAAGACUUUAGAAACUGUUUAGCUAUCGCCAUAAGCAAAGAUGAUGUUGUGGGCACCUUCAAACUGAUGAUUAUUGGCUCUAUGCCGAGAUCUGAGUUGGAUGGCACCAAGAACUUCAACAACUUUCAGAAUACCAAGAUGAGUAAAACCAGACUUGCCAGUUUUGGGAAUAGUUUUCAGCCACACAGUACAGAGAUGGUAGAGGGAUGGUCUAAUAAGCUUCAACCCAAGGGAGUCAUGACAGAUACAGAUCUUACCACCAUUACUGAAUGGAUCAACCAGAAGGGCUACAAUGAUCAAAACGAUCCACACAGGAAACAAGUCUCCAACCUCCUAUAA